GUAACAGGUGAACCCAGCAUGAGGUACAAGGGGCAGCAAAGACAGACGCAUCUGAAGGCACCAAUGCUAUGACUAAGGAAUUUUCUUGUGAGCUCUGUAGGGGUCGUUUUAACAUUAACCAGUGAAGACAUCCAUUUUGGUUGCUGGACCCCCUGUUCUUCAUUUUCUUCUGUGGAGAAGGUGGCAUUUGUCCAGGCAUCUUCUAAUGCUGUCUGCCAUCACAUCUUUCCUGGCGCUAGUGCUGGCCACAGAACGUUUUCCCUGCGCGUGGGGUGGUUCAGAAGGUGAUGUCUCAGCCUCUCUUCACAGUGCGUGGAGGUUAGGCCGGACUCAUGGCUCCCAUGCAUUCUCACUAUUUCAUUACGUUAUCUUGGAAGUUAAAUAAAGAUGUAACGUUGCGCUGAAAUCCCUUUCCCCAG
rnacentral:lncRNA from 1 species